GGCGGCGGCGGCGGCGCCUGAAAAAGCGGACCGCAAGAGGUGCCGAGACUGUGAACAAAGAAGAUAUCUGAAAAUGACAAGUAAAAGUCUUGAGGAAUCCAUGGGGGCUGUGCAGAGGGGGCUGGCCAAAGUGAUCACAGGAUUGCAGAGCAAAGUCUUGCCACCCAUGAGCCCAAAGGUGGUCACAGAGGAAGAAGUGAACCGGAUGCUGACACCCUCAGAGUUCCUGAAGGAGAUGUCCCUCACCACGGAGCAGAAGUUGGCAAGCACACGAAUUAUAUGUCGGCCACAGAUCACUGAACUCUUAGACAUGGGAGAAACAACACAUCAAAAGUAUUCUGGAGUUGACUUGGACCAGGCCCUAUUUCAGCCCUUUCCAUCAGAAAUCAUAUUCCAGAACUAUUCUCCCUGUGAAGUCUAUGAGGUUCCAUUGGUUUUAAGAAACAACGACAAAAUCCCAAGGAUGGUAAAAGUUGUUGAAGAAAGCUCACCUUACUUUAAAGUCAUCAGCCCCAAAGACAUCGGUCACAAGGUGGCCCCAGGGGUGCCGUCUAUAUUCCGGAUCCUUUUCACUCCAGAGGAGAACAAGGAUUAUGCCCACAUGUUGACCUGUAUUACUGAAAGAGAAAAGUUUGUUGUGCCCGUCAAAGCCAGAGGGGCUCGAGCCAUCCUGGACUUCCCUGACGAGCUGAAUUUUUCCACUUGCCCUGUGAAAUACAGCACCCAGAAGGUUCUGCUGGUCCGAAACAUUGGCAACAAAGACUCCGUGUUCCACCUCAAAGCUCGCAGGCCUUUUUCCAUAGAACCAACGGCCGGGAUUCUUAACGUGGGGGAGUCCAUGCAGCUGGAAGUGGACUUCGAGCCCCAGACCGUAGGCAACCAUAACGGGAAGCUCAUCGUGACGUACGACACUGGUGAGAUGGUGUUUGUGCGUCUCUAUGGAGCUGCCAUAGAUGUGAAUAUAAGACUGGACAAGAAUUCCUUGAUCAUGGAGAAAACGUACAUAUCUCUGGCCAAUCAGCGGACGAUAACCAUUCAUAACCGCUCUAAUAUCAUUGCCCAUUUCCAGUGGAAGAUAUUUGCUACACAGGAAGAGGAAGACAAAGAAAAAUAUAGGGUCUGUGACGAUCUGACGAAGGAGGAAAAGCAGGAAACCGACAUGUUUCUGGAAGAGUGCCUUUUGGAUCCUUCGCUCCGAGAACGCCUCUCUAUUCUCUCCCGCACCUUCGAGAACCAGAGGAAGCUGGUGCGAGGAGACAGCAUGCUGUUUCUGGAUAACAUUUUCACCAUCGAGCCCCUGGAAGGCGAUGUCUGGCCCAACUCAUCAGCUGAUAUCACUGUGUACUUUAACCCCCUAGAGGCCAGGCUCUACCAGCAGACGAUUUACUGUGACAUUUCAGGUCGAGAGAUCCGCUUGCCCCUCCGAAUCAGAGGAGAAGGGAUGGGGCCCAAGAUUCACUUCAACUUCGAAUUGCUGGACAUUGGCAAAGUUUUCAUUGGAUCUGCCCACUGUUACGAGGCGAUCCUAUCCAACAAAGGCAGCAUCGAUGCCCUCUUCAAUGUGAUCCCUCCAACUUCAGCCCUGGGGGCCUGCUUUGUUUUCAAUCCUAAAGAAGGCAUCAUUGAACCGAGUGGGGUCCAAGCUGUCCAGAUCUCCUUCAGUUCUACCAUCCUGGGGCACUUCGAGGAAGAGUUCCUGAUCGAUGUUAACGGGUCCCCGGAGCCCGUGAAGCUGACCAUUAGAGGAUGUGUCAUUGGACCUACGUUCCAUUUUAAUGUCCCUGCUCUGCACUUUGGUGAUGUUUCCUAUGGAUUUCCCCAUACUUUGAUGUGUUCCCUCAAUAACACAUCUUUGGUCCCCAUGACCUUCAAAUUGCGUGUCCGUGGGGAUGGCGAUGGCCUGCAAAGCAUCCCAAGUUACUCUCAGGAGUCAGACAGCAAGAGACGGUCUUGGGUUAAUACCGAACUAUCCACAACGAAGCCCAGAGAGUUCACCAUCACUCCCAGCAGCGGCACCAUACGUGCCCAGGGGUUUGCUGCCAUCAAGGUGACUUUGUGCUCCAACACUGUGCAAAACUAUGAGCUGGCGCUGGUGGUAGAUGUGGAGGGCAUUGGAGAAGAAGUGCUGGCGCUCUUGAUUACAGCCAGGUGUGUUGUGCCCACCCUCCAGUUGGUGACCACAGAGGUGAACUUUGGACGCUGCUUCCUGAAGUACCCAUAUGAGAAGACCAUCCAGCUUGUCAAUCAUGAUGUCCUUCCCGGAUGCUAUAAGGUCCUGCCCCAGCUGUAUGAGAAUCCGCCCGCUGUCCUGCUCUCCAGCCCCUCCCCCUGCGGGGUCAUCCCCCCACACAGCACCGUGCACAUACCACUAUCCUUGGAGACCCAGGUCACUGGUGAACACAGAUCCACAGUUUACAUCUCCGUCUUCGGGAGCCAAGACACCCCUCUGGCAUGUCAUAUACAGAGCAUCGGAGAAGGCCCGGUUAUCUUCAUACAUCCCACUCAGGUUGAUUUUGGCAACAUCUAUGUCCUGAAGGACACUUCAAGAAUUCUCCAGCUGUCUAACCAGUCCUUCAUCCCUGCAUACUUUCAGGCUCGCAUGGCAAACAAAAAAUCCCUUUGGACAGUUAAACCCAGUAAGGGCAUGGUUCCUGCAGAAGAUGAUGUCCCGUUGACCCUGACUGCCAACCUGGAUGACAUCGUGACAUUCAAAGACACAGUCAUUCUGGAGGUUGAGCACAGCAACACCUACCGGAUCCCUAUCCAGGCUACAGGGAUUGGCUCUACCAUUGUGUCAGACAAGCCCUUUGCUCCAGAGCUCAACCUGGGAGCACAUUUCAGCCUGGAUAUCCACUAUUACCGCUUCAAGCUGACGAAUAAAGGACGGCGCGUCCAGCAGCUGUUCUGGAUGAAUGAUGACUUCCGCCCUGAGGAAAAGCCAAGUAAGAAGGAACCAAUGAAGAAGGGACCUAGUCGUAGCCGUCGCCAGUCCCAGAUCUCCCAGGAACCCGCAGAUACAGGGAGCCCCGUGUUUCAACUUUACCCUGUCAGGAUGGAGUUGUACCCAGGCCAGACGAUUGACGUGGUACUUGAAGGCUAUUCUGCCAUUCCCAGGAAAGUCAAAGAAAAGCUGGUAUGCCACGCCAUUGUCGGAGCCCAGAAGGGAAAAAGCUUGUUGAUGUCCGUGAACAUCAUCUGUGAAUUCAUAGCACCUCUCAUCCAGCUCUCCACCAGGCAGCUCAUAUAUCGACUGGAAAAGAAGCCUAAUACCAUCCUGGAAGCUGAUUACCAGCCCUUGACUAUAAAGAACGUCACCACCCUGCCUGUGAACGUGCUGCUCUCAACAACUGGACCCUUCUUCAUAUGUGAGACUGAUAAGUCCCUGCUGCCCGCAACUCCUAAGCCUAUAAAACUGGAGGUCAAUGAAGAGAAAAACCUGCUGGUCAAGUUUGACCCCUCCUACAGAAAUGACCUGAACAACUGGGUGGCAGAGGAAGUCCUAUCCGUUAAGUAUGUGGAGCACCCUCAGGUGGACAACGUGAACUUGCGUGGAGAAGUGCAUUACCCCAACCUCAGCUUCGAGAUGAUGGAGGUGGACUUCGGCUGCAUCCUGAAUGAUACCGAGGUCAUUCGCUACAUCACCAUCACCAACUGUAGCCCCUUGGUGGUGAAAUUCCGUUGGUUCUUCCUGGUGGACGAUGAUGAAAACCAGAUAAGGUUUGCACCCUGCAUCAAGCCGUACAGUGCUUUCACGUCCCAGAUGGAGUCCAUCCCAGCAACCUCAGUUACCGCCAGCUCGCCAGCAGCCCCACCGAUGGUAGAGUCUACUGAGGUGGACUUUAGCGAUUCUAUCAAGACUAUCCUUAUUGAUGAUGAAGCUGGACCUGAAGAAAUCAAAAAGCGCGCAGCCUCCACCGUGAUCUCAGAAGCAAUAAAAUACAGCUCUGCAGAAACAGAAAGAAGCCAGAGCCAGGCGGACUACCCAGAAUCCCUGUGGAUCUUUGAGCAGGAGGAGAUGCUUUCCAUCGGGAUAGAAGAAGUAUUUGACAUUUUGCCCCUCUACGGAGUUCUGCGGCCAUACAGCAGCCAUCAGAUAUCAUUUACCUUCUAUGGGCACUGUGACAUCAUUGCAAAGGCCAAAGCUCUGUGUGAAGUGGAAGGAGGGCCCACCUAUGAAAUAGUCCUGAAGGGAGAGGCCUCCCUGGUCAGCUACUCCUUUGACACCAAGGACAUUAACUAUGGACUACAGCUGUUUGACCAUGUCACGGAGCGCGAAAUCACACUGAAAAAUACUGGGAAAGUUGGCUUUGAGUUCAAGGUUCUGACUAACUACCCGUCUUCGCCAAAGAAUCUUCUCCCUGGAGUACCUCUUAUCCUGCCUCUGUCGGGUUUUAUCCGCUCAAAUAAGGAGCAGGUGCUGAAAGUUUACUACUUGCCUGGAAUACCUGAGGUCUUCCAAAGAAGCUUCCAGAUACAGAUCGCCCACCUGGACCCAGAAAAUAUCACUCUGUACGGAGAGGGCAUCUUUCCCCGGAUCAGCCUUGAUCUGCACAGGAACCUCCGAGGUAAUGAAAAGUAUGAACGCUUCCUGGAACAAGCGAAGAAGAACAUGGAGAAAGAGUAUAAUAAAUAUGAGUCUGUCAAUCAAUAUGAGAUGAUCUCUGAGGACAACACUGAGGAGGAGAAUACAGAGGUAAGUGCUCAUCUGCAGAUGGAGGUAGAGCGACUUAUAGUCCAAGACUAUGCCCUGGAACACCAAAAGGCAAUCUCCUCCAGUACCACAGACACCUACUUCAGCAAUCGGAGUCGCCGCAAAAUAGCCAAAGUCCAGCUGCCUGAGUACAUCCUGGACUUCGGCUCCAUUGUGCUUGGAGACGUCCGAACCCACAUCAUCAAGAUCACCAACACCAGUCACUUUCCAGUGUCUUUCCAUGCAGAAAAGCAUGUCCUUCACGAUACAGGCUUCAGCACUGAGCUAGACCGUGUAAAGAAUCUGCCCUACUGCGAGACAGAAACAUUUGAAGUGAGAUGCGACCCACAAGGGGCUAAUAUUCCUGUGGGGAACAAAGAAGUCAUUCUCCCCAUCAAGGUGUCUGGAGGGCCAACCAUUCACCUCUGCCUCCAAGCCACUGUGACCAUUCCAAGUAUGAGCCUGUCCUGCAACAAAGUAGAAUUUUCUACAAUCCAGUGUGGACAGUGCAUGGUGGAAACCAUUCAGCUUUCCAACACUCUUCAAGUUCCUUGUGAUUGGUUUGUCCACACCCCGCAGCCUACUAACAAGCUGGAUAAGCACAUGCCAAAGUAUUUGAGACGGAAACUACAGGCGGAGAUGAUUCCAAAGACUCGGAUCUUUGAGAUCCAACCCACUUCUGGAGUCUUGGACCCUGGCGAGAGGGCCAAUGUGCAAGUGAAAUUCAUGCCCAAAGAAGAGAAGUUCUACAGCCAGUCGCUGCUGUUCCACAUUGGCCAGAGCAAUCAGAGGCUCGUGCUCCUGGCUCAGGGGCAAGGUCUGGAGCCACGGCUGGAAUUCAGCCCUUCGGUUCUGGAGCUGGGGCCCCUCCUGCCGUUCGCAUCAGGGGAUGAGGCCGAGGUGAUUGUGAGGAACCCCUGCAACUUCCCCAUUGAGUUUUACUCCCUAGAAUUUGACCAGCAGUAUCUCUUAGAGGAGAAGAUCUUGCGACAGCUGAAGGGCUAUGAUUCCUACAACACCCUGCUGCUGCCUCCCCGGAACCCAGGGGAAAAGCUGCCCCAGGAGGUCUACGAUUACUUUAGGGAGAUGAAGAAAUCAAAAGAGGAGCAGAUGAAGGCGAAAUACAUGGAGAAUAUGUCACAGGAGAAUGAAGAAGAAGAGAUGCCAUCAGACCAGGGAACCACCACCAGCACCAAGAGGACAUCACUUAGCCGAGCAGUCUCUGUCACAUCCAACAUAGAAGAGCGGCAUCUUAUGACUGAGUCCAAGAGCUACCCAGAUGAGGACGAGGAUGAAGAAAGCCUGGAAAAACUAACGUUCCAAACUGACAAGAUCCAGAGCACAGACAGCCACUCUGCAGAGGAGGUUGGAGAGGUGGAAAGCAACCCCGUGAGCAAGGCAAUCGCACGCCACCUAGGCAUCGACAUUUCUGCAGAAGGCCGCCUGGCCAAGAACCGGAAGGGCAUCGCCAUUAUCAUCCAUGGGACACCCUUGUCAGGAAAGACAGCCAACGCCAUCAGCAUGGCCAAGUACUACAACGCAGCCUGCCUAAACAUCGACUCCAUUGUCCUAGAGGCCAUAUCAGACAGUAACAACAUCUCAGGGAUUCGGGCCCGGGAGCUAUGCAUCAGAGCUGCCAUAGAGCAGUCCAUGAGGGAAGCAGAGGAGUCGGCCCAGGAGUCUUCAAUGACACAAAAUGUUGGGGUACCAGCACGACUCAGCACUGAGAACCUGGGCAAGUUUACUUCAGAACUCACUCUAGUGACCCAGGAAUUUAAACCUGCAAAGAGUGUGCGUGGGAGUGUGAUGGUCCCCAAAGGCAAGGCGGAUAGCCACUUGUCUGGGUCUCAGAAGCAGCAUCAUCAGCAUCCAGUGGAAACACUACAGGUUCCCUCCAGCCCUCUCCUCAUAGGGCCCACCCAGCGGCGGCUCAGUGUCAGCGCCAGCGUUGGAGGUGAGACCGGGCUGAUGAGCUGUGUGCUCCCAGAUGAACUUCUCGUUCAGAUCCUAGCUGAGCGGAUACAGCUGAGUGACUGCUUCAGAGGCGUGGUGUUCGAUAGCCUGGAAACGCUCUUUGCUCGGAGUGCACCCUCUGCCCUCCUCUGCCUGCUAAAGGCCAUCGGCAGCCGGGAGCACAUAUAUGUCCUCAACAUGGCUCAGGACUAUGUGGUCAUGAAAGCCCAGGAGAAGGCCAAAAAGGAGCUAGAAGAGCGCAAACACAAGGAAGCUAUUGCGAGGGAGAAGGAGCGUCUCCAAACCCUAGAUGAGGAAGAAUAUGAUGCCCUGACACCAGAAGAGAAAAUUGCAUUUGACCGUGAGGUUCGGCAGGCUCUUCGGGAGAGAAAGAAGAGGGAGCUGGAAAGGCUGGCCAGGGAGAUGCAGGAGAAGAAGCUGCAGCAGGAGCUGGAGCGGCAGAAGGAAGAGGAUGAGCUAAAACGAAGGAUCAAAAAGCCUAAGCCAGGCCCUGCGAAGGAGGAGCCACCCCUCAAGAAAUCACAAGUCCCCCCAAUCAAGCAGGUUCCCACCACUACUGCCAAGUUAGAAAUAAAGAUGGAAACGAUAGAAAGGAAAAUUUCUGUCAGAGACCAGCCAACAAAUGAAGACCCCUCUAAGAGAAAGAAACCCACAACCGACAACGCAUUUGGAUUUCCUAUUGCCCAGGAUCAAGAGGACAGUGAAGGAGACUUCCCAAAAGAUGCUGACAAGACACUGGCCCAAAGGUUUAAAGUCUACGACUUCUGUCUGAAGGAUGUUCAAAACAUCCUCACAUACUGGGACCGCAAGCAAGGGGUCCAGAUGCCUCACGCAGGCAUGGAAGAUAUGCCCCAUGAACCUGACGAUCAGCGCCAGGCUCCUUCAGGUGGCGGCGGGCGCAGGGGCCGCAAGGAUCGGGAGAGGGAGCGCUUGGAGAAGGAGAGGGCAGAGAAGGAGCGCCUGGAGAGGGAGAAGGCUGAGAGAGAGCGACUGGAGAAGCUGCGGGCAAUGGAGGAGCGGAGCGAUGAGGGGGAAGGGGAAGAGGAAAACGAGGGGAAGAAGGAUCUGGGGGUGCCCUUUAUCAACAUCCACACUCCAGACUUUGAAGGCAUAAGUUGGAAGCAUGCCCUGGAGAGUGAGAAGCUUCCCAAAGGAGAUCAGGUCCUGGACCUCCUAGGCCUGGGGUCCUCCGGACCACCCAUUCCAGCUCCUGCCUUGUUCUCCAUCAUCUCUUACCCAGUGAAGCGGCAGUCUUCGGUUGCCACUGAGAUCCUGAAGCACUUUGUGUUUGUGGUUCCACCAAAUGAUGACCUCACCCUGCUGGACGAGAAAAAAGAAUUAGAAGGAGACUCUGAUCUCUUCCUCAACACCACGGUAUCCAAGGCCCAAGAUGAACCGACCUCUCUAUCUAAGGGGAGCAAGCAGAAAACGAAAGAAAAAUCAGAACAAGCUCGUGAAACUCAGAAGGAAAAACGUCGGAUGAACAGCAGAAAAGGCCUCUCCGGGGGACCGCCAGGGACUAACACACCAAUGUCUGACAUAGACCAGAACAGCUUCGAUGGGGAGCACUCCCAGGAAAAGUUCGUCAAGCUGAAUCACUUCCGGUGGAUUGUGCCCCCCAAUGGAGAGGUGACCUUGAAGGUGCAUUUCUCCUCUGUUGAUCUUGGCAACUAUGACCAAACGUUUAAUUUCGAGCUUCUUGGGACCCGCCGCCAGUACCAGCUCUACUGCCGUGGAGUCUGUACCUACCCGGACAUUUGCAAAGAUCCAAAGGUUGUGUUCCCUCAGAGGAAGAAAGACAUGAAGUUAAAUGAAGUCAUCUUUAAGAAGUAUAUAAUGAGUAUGGAGAAAUUUUACUUUGGGCCACUGCUUUGUGGAAAGUCAAGAGACAAGUAUAAGUCAUCCUUGUUCCCCGGCAACAUGGAGUCCCUGACGAUCCUGAACAAUUCUCCAAUGGUGGUGGAGGCAUACUUCUGCUUUCAGAAUGAUGUGAAAGCGAGCACCUACUUUCUAGAGCCCGUCAACAUGACUCUGAAACCCAAUGAAAAGCAGAUAUUAAAUGUGUGGGCCUACCCUACGGCAAUUGGCAUCUUCGAAGACAGCAUUGUCUGCUGCAUCAAGGAGAACCCAGAGCCAGCCAUCUUUAAGUUAAACUGCCAAGGAAUUCGCCCAGAAAUUGAGGUGGAGCCCAGGCAAUUACAUUUUGAACGGCUUUUGCUUCACAGAAAAGAAUCCAGGACAGUAGUUCUCCGCAAUGUCACACCCCUAUCUGUGGCCUGGCGGAUCUCCAGCCUGGAGCACCUUGGCGACGAUUUCACUGUGUCUGUGCUGCAGGCCAGCAUCCCACCCAAGGGAGAGUUUGGGCUGCAGGUGCACUUCCAGCCCACCAAACCUGUCAACAUUAAGAAGGCCAUUCGGGUUGAGGUUUUGGAUGCAGACAAUCUUGUCGGUGUUGUUCAGAUCGAAAACAUCUUGGUCUUUGCAGAAUCCUAUGAUAUUGCUUUGGACAUCACCUUCCCCAAAGGAGCUGAAGGAGGUCUGGAUUUUGGGACUCUGAAGGUCAUGGAGGAAGUCAAGCAGCCCCUUCAACUGAAGAACCGUGGGAAAUACGAGAUCGUGUACAGCUUCUCUGUGGACUCCUUAGGGGUUUUGCCAACAAAUUUAAAUUCCAUGAUCUCAGUCCAACCCAAAAGGGGUUCGCUGACCUCAGCAGAUAAGCCCACAACCGUCCAGGUGUUCUUUCGUGCCAAAAAGGAAGUGAAAAUUGAGUACCAACCUGUUCUACGCUGCCAGAUUAUUGACCCCAGCCUCCCAGAAGGUGAAAUUAUUGCCAGCAUCCCCAUUAAGUUUUCUGUGAACGCAGUGUACUCCAAAUUCACCAUCAGCCCCUCCUCUAUCAUCAACUUCGGGGCUUUGAUCUGUGGGACCAGGAAAAGCACCACCUUCACCAUAGAAAACCAAGGCAUAACAGACUUCAAAUAUGCCCUCUACAGGCUGACAGGGGAGAGUCCGAUCCAUCAAAAGAAGAUAGCAAGCCACGUCAGACACACGAGAACCCGGGAGAGUGAAAGCUUCUUCAAGUCUGGAGCUACUAAAGCAGCCAAGUUCUCGGACACUGUCCAGAAAGACAUGAACAUAGCCAACCAGGCCCGCUUCUCCCAUGGCAUGUUCACUGUAUACCCAGGAUUUGGCUCUAUCCCUUCUGGAGGACAGCAGAUCAUCACCGUGGAGUGUGUGGCUGACCCUGUGGGGAGGUGUGAAGAGUUUCUGGCCAUUGAUAUCUCUGACCGAGACCCUAGAGAAAAUCCUGCCGGCAUUCCUUACACCCUCCUUGCUGAAGCAUGCCUGCCAGCCUUUGUGACUGACAACAGCGUCUUGAUAUUUGAGGAACACCAGAUCUGCACCAGCUCCAACCUGUACCACAUCCUCCAGACCAUACAGAGUGGCGGGUUGUAUGUGGAGGAUGAAAACAAGUUCAUCUUCUGCAAUGUGCUGGUGGGUUAUCAGGCCAAGGCUCGCUUCAAGAUCAGCAAUGUGGGAAAGAUCGCUUGCGACAUCAACAUCAUAGUCAAGCCCGUCUCCAACAAGGCAGCCGCCCGCAUCACUGACAUCUUCGAUGUGGAACCCAACAAGAUGUGUAUUGGGAGUCGCUCACAUGCCUUCGUCACAGUGCUGUUCACACCACAGACCAUGCAGACCUACCAGUGCAUCUUCGAGGCUACUCUGGAUGGCUUGCCCAGCAACCUGGCCAGGAGCCGAGGUCUGGUGUUUGAUAUCGUUGGCGAGGGGACCCUCCCUCGAGUGACUGUCAUCCGACCGACUCUAUAUAACCAACAUGGAAACCCCUUGCUCCUGUUUAAGAGGCUUCUGCUGGGCCAUUCAGAGAAACUGCCUCUCAUCCUUAAGAACAAUGGCACCAUCCCUGCCCAGCUCCAUGUGGACCUGCGAGACCAACUAGGAGUCUUCUCUCUCAAAGGAAGACCCACCACCUCCUACAUCUACAUCAUAGAGGAAAACAUACCGAAUGAAAAAGUUAAAAAAGCCCACACAGCCUCCCUGGUUGUUUCUCCUGGAGACACGGCUGAAUUCGAUGUCUUUUUCCACUCCAAGAAGAUUGGGAGAAUGACAGGCACCAUCCACCUGUCGGUGAUCAACAACCAGUAUGAGGAGACCAUGAUUCACCUGGUGGGAGAAAGCUACGAGGAUGACAUCACCUUGGACAACAUCCAUGGGCUGACGGGGUCCGCUAUCCUGGAGGGCCCGGAUAUGUCUGAGGUCAUAGAGAUCGCUGAGGAAAGUGCCAUGGAGGACUUGGUGGCAGCUGCCCUGUUGGAUCACAUCCAGUUCGGGUACUGCCACAUUGGGAGCAGCUACAACGUGAGCUUCACCAUCACCAACCACAGCCAAGGGAAUGUGGUUCGCUUCGAGUGGCCCCUUUUAGCUACGCUGUCUUUCUUCCCACAGGUAGGCCAUCUCCACCCUGGCUGCUCCAAGGACGUGGUGGUGACCCUGAAGUCAGAUGUGCCCAUCAGCCUGAAGAAGAUGACUGUCAAGUGCACGCUUUCCAAGAUCGUGUUUCAGCUCCCUGCAGACCAGGUCCCUGACUGGGAUGACCGCAUGCGCACAGUCAAGUGGGUGGAUGCGCCCCGAAACACACCAGGGAACUUGACCACAAAACGAAAAGUGAUAGAGACAGACCCUGAGCCAGCGCACUCAGUAGUAGAAGAAAACUACCGAGAGCUGCGGAUCCAGAUCAGUGCCAGCGUGGACUUUGCGUCCUAUCAGUGCCAUACGAAUGACGUGUUCUUUAAGGAAACACUGGUCUACCAGACCCGAGUGUUUGAGUUUGACCUCAUUAACACAGGACAUGUGCUGUUAGAAUUCAACUGGACCUCGGAAGAUACCUGCAAGGCAGUCAGCUUUGCCAUGCCAGAUAAUCAAGGCUCCAGUCAGAAAGAUCAGCUUAGUCAGGGCACGGGCAGCACCCUGGACAGCGCCUUGGACCACUGGCCAGAAGUCUCUCCGUCACCCUUCUCCGUGGAACCCUCCUCGGGCCUUGUGCCUGUUGGGAAGACUCAGAAGAUCAAAGUGAAGUUCUCCCCGAUGGACACUGGGGAGUUCGAGAGCACCCUGUACUGCCAAAUUCCCAACUUGCCAUCAGGAGAGCAAGGCCCUGUUCUGGUCACAAGAGGGCGAAGCGUCCUGCCAUUCUGCCAUUUUGACCUGAAGGAAUCAGACUAUAUCAGUGGGCAUCGGCGCAACCCAGAGCUCCGAGGACCAGGCUCUGGGCCUCUCGAUCCAAACACCCGAGUGAUCGAGUUCACUAGUGUGGGUAUAGGAGGAAAGAAUCUCCGGACCUUUACCAUCCUGAACCCGACCGAUAGCACCUACUCUUUCUGCUGGACCUCUGAAGAAGCAGAAAGCCUGCAGCACCCUCCAGCCUUUGUGUGCCUUACAGAAAAGGGUAUCAUUCAUCCUGAAAAGAAAGCAGAGAUUGUGUUCCAGUUCCUGCCUGCUCACCUGGAUAUCACAGAAGCAUUCUGGACUUUCUGUAUCCCAGAACACAAUAUCUCAGUCCCCUUCCUGCUGGUGGGCAAAACUACAGACCCCCUCAUCUCUCUUGACCAGUCACAUCUCAACUUCAGCUCUCUCCUCAUUGGCAGAGAAGCCCGAGAGACGGUGAAGAUUAUCAACAAGGAGGAGCAUGGGUUCAAUUUUGCAUUCCAGGAUAACUCCCGUUUCUCCGAAGGAUUCAACAACAGCCUGACCGUGUGUCCCAUGGAAGGCUGGAUCCCACCGCUGUCCAGUUUCCCAAUUGAAAUUUUCUUCACACCAAAGCAAGAAGGAGAUGUGAACUUUAAUCUGAUCUGCAAUGUAAAGAGGAAAGCCCACCCUCUGACACUCAAUGUUAAGGCCGAGGGCUACACUAUGAAUGCAGAGGUCAAGUGCAGGGACCGGACGGGCUCCACCUUCCUCCUGAUGUCCAACCAGGUCAACACCAUCAACUUCUACGAGGUAGAGUUAAAUGAAUGUGUUCAGUGUGAAUUCAACUUCAUCAACACUGGCAAGUUCAACUUCAGCUACCAGGCAGAGCUCUCUGGGCCUAAAGGCCUGUUGCAGUACUUGGACUUCACGCCUACCGACAGCAGCGUGGAUGUGGGGCAGUCAGAACCUGCCAACCUGUCUUUCCAACCAUAUCAGAAGUGUGUCUUGAAGGGCCUGGAGCUCAAAAUCAAGAUCAGCCAUGGCCCAACAUUCGUGUGCAGCAUCUUAGGCUGUGCUGUGAGCCCAGCUGUCCAUUUCUCCUUCACCAGCUACAACUUUGGGACUUGUUUCAUCUACCAAGCUGGGAUGCCCCCAUACAAGCAAACCCUCCUUGUCACCAACAAAGAAGAAACAUCUAUGAGCUUAGAUUGUUUAUACACCAACACCCCACAUGUCGAGGUGAACUUCAGUGUGGACGUGAUAAAGCCUGGGAAGACACUGGAGAUCCCAAUUACCUUCUACCCUCGGGAAGCUAUCAGCUACCGAGAGCUCAUCCCCUUUGAAAUCAAUGGGCUCUCUCAACAGACAGUGGAGAUCAAAGGCAAAGGCACAGAAAUGAAGAUCUUAGUUCUAGAUCCAGCCAACAGGAUCGUGAAGUUAGGAGCUGUUCUGCCAGGUCAGGUUGUGAAGAAAACUGUUUCCAUCAUAAACAACAGCCUUGCCCAGCUCACCUUUAACCAGUCCGUCCUGUUCUCCAUUCCAGAACUCCAGGAAGCCAAGGUCAUCACCCUGGAGCCCUUCCACAAUAUCACCCUGAAGCCCAAAGAAGUCUGCAAGCUGGAAAUUACCUUUGCCCCCAAGAAGCGUGUCCCUCCUUUCUCUGAGGAAGUGUUCAUGGAAUGGAUGGGACUUCUGCGUCCCCUCUUUCUCCUUAGUGGCUGCUGUCAGGCCCUGGAGAUUUCCCUGGACCAGGAGCAUCUUCCCUUUGGUCCUGUCGUGUAUCAGACGCAAUCUACACGGCGCAUCCUCAUGAUGAACACAGGCGAUGUGGGUGCAAGGUUUAAGUGGGAUGUGAAGAGAUUAAAGCCUCACUUCUCCAUCAGCCCUGAAGAAGGUUACAUCACCUCCGGCAUGGAGGUUGCUUUAGAAGUAACCUACCAUCCCACUGAGAUAGGAAAGGAAAGUCUCUAUAAAAACAUUCCCUGCUUCAUCCAGGGAGGAAAUCAUCUGUCCCUCACCCUGUCUGGAAUCUGCGUGGGACCACCUGCAAUCAAAGAGGUGGUGAAUUUCAACUGCCAAGUGCGCUCCAGGCACACCCAGACCAUCCUGCUCUCAAACCGUACCAACCAGACCUGGAAUCUGCACCCCAUCUUUGAGGGCGAGCACUGGGAGGGGCCCGAGUUCAUCACCUUGGAGGCCCAUCAGCAAAACAAGCCCUAUGAGAUCACCUACAAGCCCCGCACCAUGAAUCUGGAGAACCGCAAGCACCAGGGCACUCUCUUUUUCCCCCUCCCGGAUGGGACUGGCUGGCUGUAUGCCCUGCACGGGACUGCCGAGCUCCCCAAAGCUGUUGCCAACAUCUACCGUGAGGUUCCGUGUAAGACUCCCUAUGUUGAGCUCCUGCCAAUCAGCAACUGGCUGAACAAGCCCCAGAGAUUCCGGGUCAUUGUGGAAAUAUUGAAACCGGAGAGACCAGACCUAAGUGUCACUCUGAAGGGCCUUGAUUACAUCGACGUACUAUCUGGCUCCAAGAAAGACUACAAGCUGAACUUCUUUUCCCACAAGGAGGGGCUGUACACUGCAAAGGUGAUCUUCCGGAACGAGGUGACCAAUGAAUUCCUGUACUACACUGUGAGUUUCAGGGUCAUCCCUUCUGGCAUUAUAAAAACCAUCCAGAUGACAAGCUCAGUCCGCCAGAGUGCGUCAGCCUCCAUCAAGUUGGAGAAUCCCCUGCCCUAUUCCGUGACCUUCUCUACAGAGUGCAAGCUGAGUGACAUCAACCUACCUUCCCAGUUUGCUGUGCCUGCAAACUCUGAGGGAACAUUCUCGUUUGAAUUUCAGCCCCUGAAAGCUGGAGAAACUUUCGGGAGACUGACCCUGCACAACAGUGACUUGGGUUACUACCAGUAUGAGCUUGCUCUGAAGGCCUUGCCCGCACCUCCUGAGAAACCUGUCCACUUCCAGACUGUUCUCGGCAGCAGUCAAAGCAUUUUAGCAAAGUUCACCAAUUAUACCCGACAGAAGACAGAGUACUACUGCAGGACGGACUGCCCUGACUUCCACACGGAAAGAGUCAUUAACGCAGCCCCAGGAGCCCAGGGCGGCACUGAGGUCAGCGUGGAAGUCUUCUUUGAGCCCAGCCACCUGGGUGAGACCAAAGGCAUCCUGAGCCUGUCGUCACUCAUAGGUGGUGAAUAUAUCAUCCCACUCUUCGGAAUUGCCCUGCCUCCCAAGCCCCAAGGCCCCUUCCUCAUCAGAGCCGGAUACAACAUCGUCAUUCCCUUCAAGAAUGUCUUCUUGCAUGCGGCAAACUUCUCCUUCAUCGUGGAGAACCCAGCCUUCACCAUCCGGGCUGCGGACACCGUGCGGCCCAAGAAGAUCAACAAUAUCACAGUCUACUUUGAGGGGAACCCAUCAGGCAGUAAAACCCCUAUCACCACCAAGCUGAUUGUCACCUGCCCUCAGUGCGAAGGCACUGAAUCUGGAAUCAAAUGGGUUUAUUAUCUGAAAGGGAUCACCCCGUAAGUCAAAACUUUAUCAGCUAGUGCCAUCUUCUCAGGCCACGAGCCGUGUACUGUGCCGCCCUCGCAAAGACUAGAGAAGAAUGUGGGAAUUUCUCGAGGAUUUCCUUAUAUGUGUUCAGUUAUAUAGAAAGUUAUUUCUAUAUUAUGUUUUACAAAUGCAGAUAUGAAAUUUACGCUCCACAUUAACAUUAAUAGUGACACAUAAAGAUCUACAUCGGGGCGAAAUGAAUCAGUGGCAGGCUCUAUAGUUGUGUUUCUCACAGCUAAAUGCUCUGCCAUGGUUCCAGUUCGUAAGGAGGCACAGGUAUCCCGCUCAUGGUCUUCACCUGGCACUUACGAGUGUCCAGCGGAGGGGACUGCUGAUUCUCCUUCAGAUGGCAUCAGCCCCAGAUAUGACUGACUCUAUUUUGAUGUGACAUCAUUUCUGCUUUCUCUUAAAAGCUAAAGAAGUCAUCGUCUACAGAGUGAUGAACAGGUCACAUGAGGGCAACUCAGGGAUGCUGCCCCUCACUGUUUCUCUUGUGUUCUAUUCCAUCAGCCUUCAGAUCUCAUUUCUGUUCACGGCAGGAGGGAGCCCACCAGCGAGAGAGAGGAAGUAAAAAAGCAGAUGGUCUCUAAAGAACUAAGUCUCUAAAGAAGAAGAUGUCUGAAUGCUCCCAGGACCACGCCUGGGAGGAGCAUCUGGGAAGCUGCUAAAGACCCACAUUCUCAGAAUCUGUGGAAUACAGUCCAGCAAUCUGCUUUUCAAUACGACCAGUACCUGUUACAGGCUCGGAGGGGAGAGUCUAGAGGCUCUCUUUGGUUGGUUGGGGUUUGGUUUGUUUCUUUUAAGACUGGGUCUUACCAUGUCGCUUAAAUUGUCUUUGACCUCCAUUCCUCUUGCCUCAGCCUCGUGAGUACUAAGAUAACAGUUUGUAGUACCGCAUGACUUAAAUGGUGGUGUUGUGUGCGUGCGCAUGCCCACAUGUGCCGAAUUCAAGUAUGUGUGUGUGUGUGUGUGUGUGUGUGUGCAUAUGUGAGAGUGUGGGUAUGCAUGUGCCAUGGCCCUUGAAUGGGGGGGUCAGAGGAGAGCCUCAGGUGUCAGUCCUUGCCUAGAGGACUUGCCCCAGUCUCUCUCACUCAAUUCUGCUGAUGCCAGGCUAGCUGGCCCAUGAGCUUCCAGAGAUUUCCCCUGUGCCUGCCUCCCACCCCCCAGUAGAGGCACGCUGGGAUUGCAGACACGUGCACUACUGCCUCCAGUUUUUAGUUAGGUCCUUGUUUUCAAAUGUAGACUGUCAGGCUUGUGCAGCAAGUCCUUUGCCCACCAAGUCAUCUCCCAUGCCCUUAAAAGUGUUUUACCAACAGGAAAGGAGCUUCAGCUUUUUGCGCCUCCCCAAAACCCUCAGCCGGUACAUGCCAUACACAACUUAUGCCGAAUGAAGCCUUUCCUAUAAAGCUUGUGAACUCAAGCCUAUGGUUCAUGACCAAUUCACUUUAUAGCCAGUAAAGGCACAACCAAUGGGUCCAGCAGCUGAAGGCACCUGCUGCCACUCCUGACAACCUGAGUUCAAUCCCCAAGACCCACAUGGGAGGAGAGAAGUGACUUCUGAAAGUUGUCCUCUGACCUCCAUACAUAUUCCAAGACACACACACACAUACACACACACACACACACACAUAAUAAUAUCAUAAAAUAUUUUUUUGAGACAGGGUUUCUCUGUGUAACAGCCUGGCUGUCCUGGAACUUCCUCUGUAGUCCAGGCUGGCCUCAGACUCAUAAAGAUCUCCACCUGUCUCUUCUUCCCAAGUGCUGGGAUUAAAGGCAUCUGCCGCCACCACCACCACCGGCUAUUUUUGUUUGCUUGUUUGUUUUUCAAGAUAAAAUAAUUUAAAAGACACAAAUAAUAGAUUUAAAGGCAAAGAAUUAGAUGGCGGAUUCCUCCAGUGGUUGGUUAAGCAAAGACCACACUAGCUAGCAAUCUGAGAGGAUUGAAAAGUCCGCGAGCAGCUGCUAUGACCAACAGAUUAAAGAGGCUAGGUAACGUCGGCCGUUUCCCGGUUUUAGUUUAUAUCAGAAUCUCUGGGGAGGACCUGCAAAACCAGAAUGCUGGGCUGCUCCCCUGAAACUCCAGCUUUGAUUAGGGCACAACUUCAGCUGCAGCCUCUCAACUCAUUAUGAUAUGACCUUUCCACGCAUUGGUAUACGUGUUGCAGUUACGACAGAACCCUUCCAAAGUCUGCAAUGACAAGCACCCAAAAUGGGGCUGCAAGAUCACUGUGGUGAGCUCGCAGCAUAUGAAUUACCCAGGAGUCUACAAGAGUUGGAGUAGGGAGUGGGGGGGUCAGAGAAGAGGAAGGCAGGCAGAGAGCAAGAAUGGCCCCUAGUCUUCAUUCCCAGUGUCCCAGGGUGAAUGAGUGACCUUAAUUCUGCUGCAUCUCUAAGAUAUCAGGGAAGAUUCUUUCUAGAAACUUCUGACCUAAAGGUGGACAAAGCAUUCAUUUGGGCUUUAUGGAGAAGCUGGUUUCUUAGCAACCUGAUUCAGAAUGUAGUUUCGUGAGAAAAGAGCACCUGCUAGUUGGAAAAGAAAACUGCACAGCUUCGGUUAUUAAAGCCCUUAUCACAGUGUGAAUAGUGUGGCCCUUGGGAAAUUCAGUUCACCUUUCUGAAGGAGCCAACCCCAAACAUUAAAGAAACGGGUGACAUAUUCUACCAAACAUAGGUUCACCUGAUGUGAAUGCACACUGUAGAAAACAGACCAAAAUUAGUCCAUUACCAUGGCUUAAUUUUUUUUUCAUUCUUAUCAACCACCAUCGAACCCUGAAUACGUAAACUUUGCUCGGCAUUUCGGAAUGUCCUUGACAAGUACUUGAUGCAAGGCAAAAGGAGGAAACUACCAGACAACACGUUUUCUCAGGGUGUGAGUCUAUCUACACGUUGAGGUUCUCAUACUGGUGGGGUGCUCAAGGGGCUACUUCCUCCAUUCACUGGGCUAUGCUGGGAAAGCUUUUGCCAUAUGCGAGGACCCUAUGGGUAAUAAAACACACACAUGGAAAUUUGUUGGUCAAUUUCUCCAUGACUUCUUGAGCUUUAGGUUAGGCCCAGCGUUUGCUUACUGUGGAUACGUCAUACACGGCUACCAGCCUAGAAGCUUAAAACAACACAGGUUUAUUCUAUCUCGGUAUUUGCGGGCCGAGUGUCCACACGGUCUGAGCUGGAUUCUCAGUCCACAGAUCCACAAGGCUAAAUCAAGGGCCAGCCUUGUCUUCAUGUGAAGACUCAAGUAAGAAAAGCUAUGCCUCUGAGUGCCUCCUGUGUGCUGUCCAAGUCGUUUCCUGUGCCUUAAGGAUGGAAUCACACUUUCUUGGCAAUCGAUGACAGGGACUGCUCUCAGCAGCUGGAGACCACCGCCAGUACCACCAUGGACUGUUCAUAACAUGACCCCUGGAGCCAUCAGGAGAAUCUCCUCAUAGCAAAUUUCAGGCCACUUUGAGGACUCACCUGAUUAUCUCAGCUCCACCCACAAUAAUCCCCCCUCCCCUUUAAAUCA